GAGGCGCGCAUAAACACCUCCACGUGGUGCACCCUGGGCAACGUAUAUUCAUACGGCAAAAAAGUCUAU
rnacentral:ribozyme from 1 species